AGUGAACGCUGGCGGUAGGCCUAACACAUGCAAGUCGAACGGCAGCACAGUAAGAGCUUGCUCUUACGGGUGGCGAGUGGCGGACGGGUGAGGAAUACAUCGGAAUCUACUUUUUCGUGGGGGAUAACGUAGGGAAACUUACGCUAAUACCGCAUACGACCUACGGGUGAAAGCAGGGGAUCUUCGGACCUUGCGCGAUUGAAUGAGCCGAUGUCGGAUUAGCUAGUUGGCGGGGUAAAGGCCCACCAAGGCGACGAUCCGUAGCUGGUCUGAGAGGAUGAUCAGCCACACUGGAACUGAGACACGGUCCAGACUCCUACGGGAGGCAGUAGUGGGGAAUAUUGGACAAUGGGCGAAAGCCUGAUCCAGCCAUACCGCGUGGGUGAAGAAGGCCUUCGGGUUGUAAAGCCCUUUUGUUGGGAAAGAAAAGCAGCAGGUUAAUACCCCGCUGUUCUGACGGUACCCAAAGAAUAAGCACCGGCUAACUUCGUG
rnacentral:rRNA from 1 species